rnacentral:rRNA from 1 species
UACGUAGGGUGCAAGCGUUGUCCGGAAUUAUUGGGCGUAAAGAGCUCGUAGGCGGUUUGUCGCGUCUGCCGUGAAAGUCCGGGGCUCAACUCCGGAUCUGCGGUGGGUACGGGCAGACUAGAGUGAUGUAGGGGAGACUGGAAUUCCUGGUGUAGCGGUAGAAAUGCGCAGAUAUCAGGAGGAACACCGGUGGCGAAGGCGGGUCUCUGGGCCGAUACUGACGCUGAGGAGCGAAAGCGUGGGGAGCGAACAGG